rnacentral:misc_RNA from 1 species
UGAAAAGCCCAUUAGUUUAGAAGCCUGUCUCCCCAAUCGUUCCCUAGAUGAAAUCUCUCUAAUCAAGAAGCUGGUUUGUUAUGACCCAGCUAACAGAGCUACAGCAAUGGAACUGCUUCAUGAUGAGUACUUCGGCAAGGAGCCUCUACCAGUUCCCAUAUCUGAGCUUCAUGUACCUUUGACGAAUGGUGGGCAAGAUGAGGAUUUUCCUGGUGGAUGGUAUGACUACAAUGAUAGGGAAUCAGAUUCUGAUUUUGAUGACUUUGGCCCUAUGAAUGUCACAACCACCAGUACUGGUUUUUCCCUAAAGUUUUCCUGAGCUCAAAAAUGGUGAGGUCUGCUUUCUGUAUCUUCUGGAAUUUUAUAAUUUAAUUAUAAAAUUUAUUGUUAUCCUAAAAUCCUUUGGACAUCAUGUGUUCCUGUCAAAGUAAUACCCCAAACAAAAAAAGACUCAUUCUUGUUAAAUCU